rnacentral:rRNA from 1 species
GGACGAACGCUGGCGGCGUGCCUAAUACAUGCAAGUAGAACGCUGAAGAGAGGAGCUUGCUCUUCUUGGAUGAGUUGCGAACGGGUGAGUAACGCGUAGGUAACCUGCCUUGUAGCGGGGGAUAACUAUUGGAAACGAUAGCUAAUACCGCAUAACAAUGGAUGACACAUGUCAUUUAUUUGAAAGGGGCAAUUGCUCCACUACAAGAUGGACCUGCGUUGUAUUAGCUAGUAGGUGAGGUAAUGGCUCACCUAGGCGACGAUACAUAGCCGACCUGAGAGGGUGAUCGGCCACACUGGGACUGAGACACGGCCCAGACUCCUACGGGAGGCAGCAGUAGGGAAUCUUCGGCAAUGGGGGCAACCCUGACCGAGCAACGCCGCGUGAGUGAAGAAGGUUUUCGGAUCGUAAAGCUCUGUUGUAAGUCAAGAACGGGUGUGAGAGUGGAAAGUUCACACUGUGACGGUAGCUUACCAGAAAGGGACGGCUAACUACGUGCCAGCAGCCGCGGUAAUACGUAGGUCCCGAGCGUUGUCCGGAUUUAUUGGGCGUAAAGCGAGCGCAGGCGGUUUGAUAAGUCUGAAGUUAAAGGCUGUGGCUCAACCAUAGUUCGCUUUGGAAACUGUCAAACUUGAGUGCAGAAGGGGAGAGUGGAAUUCCAUGUGUAGCGGUGAAAUGCGUAGAUAUAUGGAGGAACACCGGUGGCGAAAGCGGCUCUCUGGUCUGUAACUGACGCUGAGGCUCGAAAGCGUGGGGAGCGAACAGGAUUAGAUACCCUGGUAGUCCACGCCGUAAACGAUGAGUGCUAGGUGUUGGAUCCUUUCCGGGAUUCAGUGCCGCAGCUAACGCAUUAAGCACUCCGCCUGGGGAGUACGACCGCAAGGUUGAAACUCAAAGGAAUUGACGGGGGCCCGCACAAGCGGUGGAGCAUGUGGUUUAAUUCGAAGCAACGCGAAGAACCUUACCAGGUCUUGACAUCCCGAUGCUAUUUCUAGAGAUAGAAAGUUACUUCGGUACAUCGGUGACAGGUGGUGCAUGGUUGUCGUCAGCUCGUGUCGUGAGAUGUUGGGUUAAGUCCCGCAACGAGCGCAACCCCUAUUGUUAGUUGCCAUCAUUCAGUUGGGCACUCUAGCGAGACUGCCGGUAAUAAACCGGAGGAAGGUGGGGAUGACGUCAAAUCAUCAUGCCCCUUAUGACCUGGGCUACACACGUGCUACAAUGGUUGGUACAACGAGUUGCGAGUCGGUGACGGCGAGCUAAUCUCUUAAAGCCAAUCUCAGUUCGGAUUGUAGGCUGCAACUCGCCUACAUGAAGUCGGAAUCGCUAGUAAUCGCGGAUCAGCACGCCGCGGUGAAUACGUUCCCGGGCCUUGUACACACCGCCCGUCACACCACGAGAGUUUGUAACACCCGAAGUCGGUGAGGUAACCUUUUGGAGCCAGCCGCCUAAGGUGGGACAGAUGAUUGGGGUG